GAUGAAGAACGUAGCGAAAUGCGAUAAGUAAUGUGAAUGGCAGAAUUCAGUGAAUCAUCGAAUCUUUGAACGCACAUUGCGCCCGUCAGUAUUCUGGCGGGCAUGCCUGUUCGAGCGUCAUUACGCCCCUCAAGUCCCCUGUGGACUUGGUGUUGGGGAUCGGCGAGGCUGGUUUUCCAGCACAGCCGUCCCUUAAAUUAAUUGGCGGUCUCGCCGUGGCCCUCCUCUGCGCAGUAGUAAAACACUCGCAACAGGAGCCCGGCGCGGUCCACUGCCGUAAAACCCCCCAACUUUUUAUAGUUGACCUCGAAUCAGGUAGGACUACCCGCUGAACUUAAGCAUAUCAAUAAGCGGAGGA
rnacentral:misc_RNA from 1 species